rnacentral:rRNA from 1 species
GGCCUAUGUGAAACUCCUUCGACGAGUCGAGUUGUUUGGGAAUGCAGCUCUAAAUGGGUGGUAAAUUUCAUCUAAAGCUAAAUAUUGGCCAGAGACCGAUAGCGCACAAGUAGAGUGAUCGAAAGAUGAAAAGCACUUUGAAAAGAGAGUUAAAAAGUACGUGAAAUUGUUGAAAGGGAAGCGCUGGCAACCAGACUUGCGCGUCGGGGUUCCCCCUUGCUUCUGCUUGGGUUACUCCCCGGCGUUCAGGCCAACAUCGGUUUCGGGGGUUGGUUAAAGGCCCUGGGAAUGUACCUACCCUCCGGGGUAGACUUAUAGCCCAGGGUGUCAUGCGACCUCCCGGGACCGAGGAACGCGCUUCGGCUCGGAUGUUGGCGUAAUGGUUGUCAGCGACCCGUCUUGAAACACGGACCAAGGAGUCUAACAUCUAUGCGAGUGUUAGGGUGUCAAACCCUUACGCGGAAUGAAAGUGAACGGAGGUAGGAAGCCGUUAGGCUGCACUAUCGACCGAUCCUGAAAUUUAUGGAAGGAUUUGAGUAAGAGCAUAGCUGUUGGGACCCGAAAGAUGGUGAACUAUGCCUGAAUAGGGUGAAGCCAGAGGAAACUCUGGUGGAGGCUCGCAGCGGUUCUGACGUGCAAAUCGAUCGUCGAAU